CCAGGAGUGCCCUGACCCGUUCACAAAGGGAUCUUCACAGUAAAAUUAGAUCUCUUUUAUUUUUCCUCCUUUGUUUAAAAAAAAUAGCAUUCAGCUUUCAAAACAAAUGAACUGUUCAGAAACAAAAAUAUAACAUCAAAUUCUUGCUUUUUAAUAAAGGGUUUUACUUCUCUUUCAACUUGCGUAUAUCUGACAACAUCUAACACUGAAUUACUUUAAAGGCUUGUGCUUUAGAAACAAAGUCCAAAGACUUUCAAGCUACCUGUUUUUUGGCUUAUUUACAACUUAACAUUUUCUUCCCGAACCUCCAGCUCACAAUUGUUCAUGGCAAUGGAUAUGCUGAGGUAGGACUGCAGUGUGGGGUCACGGGUGGGUAACAAAACAGGGUUGGGGGACGUGCUGCUCUACCACAGCAACACCGUUCUAACUACUGAAGAUGCACCUGAUGAAGCAGACCCAACAAACAGAAACCAUUGGGCAACCCUUUCCUCUAUGGCUGCAGCUUGAAUAAAAGGCAGGGUACUAACCACGGGUGACACCAACACGCAUGUCACAGCAGACUGUCGUUCUGGACGUCCAGGGCUGCCAGUUUUACUGGAGGUUCAAGCACCAGACAGGACUCUGCUAACGCCUCUUCAGCCAGUGAGGGAGUUUGGAGAGACUAGGCAUGAAGACAUUUUGUGUGGAGUGAGCAGGAUGGAGCUUCUCUUGUAAGUAGCGGAUGGAUAAAUUGUUCAAUUGGCAGUGAUGGUGUCUGGAGAACAUGUGACUUCAAUCAAACGAUAAGGAGUAAUAAGAGUUGCAGAAAGUUAAUGAGACCUGAGCAGCAGCAUAAUGACAGUUAACUGGAGAGAAAAGAUCCCUGAGAGCAAAGCAGAACUGAGUACCACAGACGAAGGUUUUGUAUCUUCCUGGAUUCCUAUAAAUCCCUUUCUUUUUGGAUUUACACUUGACUAAGUAGUCAUUUGGUUAUUUCACAUUUCAAAGCUUUCUCAGAUGAAGGUUUUGUAUCUUCCUCUCAAACUGGUCUGAUAAAAUGACCUUGGAAGGAGAAACUGUACUGACAGAGGCCCUCCUUAAACAGGCCUUCAGCGCUGGCACCACUCCAGCGAGCCCCUUGUGAGAGAUCAACUCAUUUGGGAGAGGAAAGAAAGGUGUGGUAGCAAUGCUGUAACUGGAUCCUCCACCAAGUACGCCAGUAUCAUUUAAGCAAUGAUUCCAGAUUUUGCCACACUACUGCAACACUACACUUUCUGAAGGGAAAAAUGCAGUUCCGUCUUGCAGAUGUCUGCAUUCCCACUGAGGUCAGCAGAAAUCCAGCUCAUCUUCUAAGGAAGGAUAUAUCAAAACCACCACGUCUCAGUGAUGGAAAGCCCAGCAUGCUGAUUAAACAUUUGAUCCAAAAUUCAAAGUUCAA